CCUGACCCUAGCAGUCCCUACAGGUGGGACUGCUGUGUCGAAUGUGCAUCAGUGGGUGGCGGAGAGGAGAGAAGCUGUGUCUAUGCUCAGCGUUCUGAUCUGUGAACAUCUGGAUGGUCAGUACCCUAACAUU